GAUGAACGCUGGCGGCGUGCCUAAUACAUGCAAGUCGAACGCUUUGUCUUUAAUCGAUCUGACGAGCUUGCUCUGAUGUGAUUUUAUCUGACAAAGAGUGGCGAACGGGUGAGUAACACGUGGGUAACCUACCUCUUAGCAGGGGAUAACAUUUGGAAACAAGUGCUAAUACCGUAUAAUAUUAACAACCGCAUGGUUGUUAAUUGAAAGAUGGUUCUGCUAUCACUAAGAGAUGGACCCGCGGUGCAUUAGCUAGUUGGUAAGGUAAUGGCUUACCAAGGCGAUGAUGCGUAGCCGAGUUGAGAGACUGAUCGGCCACAAUGGGACUGAGACACGGCCCAUACUCCUACGGGAGGCAGCAGUAGGGAAUCUUCCACAAUGGGCGCAAGCCUGAUGGAGCAACGCCGCGUGUGUGAUGAAGGGUUUCGGCUCGUAAAACACUGUUAUAAGAGAAGAACGACAUUGAGAGUAACUGUUCAGUGUGUGACGGUAUCUUAUCAGAAAGGAACGGCUAAAUACGUG
rnacentral:rRNA from 1 species